UACUUCGUAGCUUAAUUGGUUAUAGUACCAGUCUAGUGUACUGAAGGACGUGGGUUCGAGUCCCACCGAAGGGAAA